AACGAACGCUGGCGGUGUGCUUAACACAUGCAAGUCGAACGAGAACGUUUCCUUCGGGAAGCUAGUAAAGUGGCGUAAGGGUGAGUAACACGUGAAUAAUCUGCCCCCGAGAUUGGGGAUAACUUGGCGAAAGCUAAGCUAAUACCAGAUAAGACCACACCUCAUAUGAGAUGUGGAAAAAAGAAGCCUCAACCUUCACUCGGGGAUGAGUUCGCGGACCAUUAGCUUGUUGGUGAGAUAAAAGCUCACCAAGGCUACGAUGGAUAGCCGGCCUGAGAGGGUGAUCGGCCACACUGGAACUGAGACACGGUCCAGACUCCUACGGGAGGCAGCAGUGGGGAAUAUUGCGCAAUGGGCGAAAGCCUGACGCAGCAACACCGUGUGAGCGAUG
rnacentral:rRNA from 1 species